rnacentral:lncRNA from 1 species
AAACAAAAAUCUUUUUAGAUUUUUCAUUUAUAACUAUUUUUUUGUUUUCAAAUACAAAAUGGGAAGUACGAUGACAAAAGAUUUAACAGACUCAACCAGACUAUGACAAACUCUGACACCGCCUAAAAGACUCAAUAUUACUGGACAAGACUAGAAGUAAAAGAAAACAUGGAAACAAAAUCAAAAAUAUAAAAAGGCUCCUCAAGUAACUCUUGAAUGCACUGGUCCUGACUGGAUAGCCCUGGGGCGUUUGUCAUGCUCAAGCUCUGACAAAUAUAUCCAUACCUGAAUAAGAAAAGUAACACCAAAUAGAGUUAGUGACUCGAGACACUAUGUGAGACCACAACACCUCCUAUUGGACACAUGCAAGAAAUGAUUGGGUUAUUUUGCUAAAUGGCCUACGUGGCCAAGUGUAGCUAUUAGUACAAAAUCAAUGAAGGUGACCUCAAAAAUAUGGAAAUACCUCACUAAGAUUUAUAUGGAUUCAAACUCCCAAUAAUCAUGGCCCAAAAUUAAUUUACAGAAGUGACCCAUUUUGCAAAAACAAUCGAUAUGGCCAGAAGUGGCUAAAGAUGCAAACUCAAAAAAGACGGAUCUUAAAGUAAUAUGAAACCUAGUUGUGGACUCAAGAUCAUAAGACAUGAGCCAUUGAACCACUUUUGCAAAAAUGACCCCAUUGUGCAGGAAUGGCCGAUGUGGCCAAAAGUGGUCAGACAUGCAAAUUCAACAGGAAUGGACCUUAAAACUGAGAGGACACCUUGUUGUGGACUUGGGGUUCUAAGACAUGAGAUAACAAACUACUUUGAAAAAAUAGCACUAUUUUGCAAAAAACGACCGAUGUGGCCAAAAAUGGCUAGACAUGCAAGAUGUGGCUACGACCCUCGAAGCCAAGGUUUAAGACUCACUAGGAAGACCGAACCCUAUGUGGGUUGCCUACGUAUCCCGCCCCGAAAGACAAGAAUCAGGUAUGCGUUGUUCGGAAGGAUUGGAUAUGGGAGAAAGCUUUUAAAAAAAAUGCAACUAAUUUGGAAAAAUUAUUUCUGUCCUUUUUUGAAAAAUGAUAAGAAAGUGUAAAAAAAAUUCUUUUUCUAUCUCUUUUUUUUUAAAUCUUUUUAGAAAAUUGGGCAAGAAAAUAAAAGUGAUAAACCCUCAAUAAUCUCUCUUACUUCAUUUUUCAACCUCUUUCUUUCUCAUUUACCUUAAAUCAUUAUUGGUCCGUCAAAUGACCCCUUUACCCUUGAAGAAUGCAACAUGUAGCACAUAGAGAUGAUUAAAUGUCUUUUUGGGCCAUGGGCUCGUUCUGACAUCAUUUGGAUAGGUCUUCUACAAUGGGACACGGUACUUGGGACCGAGCCCUGCUAAGUCUAAAUGACAUGAUGCAAAUAAGAAUGACCUAAAGGCUGACCUAAGUUUGGGGUUCACUAACAAGGUAAUUCGGGGGAGCGUAUGGUCGAUGGUGGAUGCUCAAACUUUUCACCCACUUCAUACGUUCGACGGCCCCCUCCUAAAAUAAGGAUGACUCAACAAAGAGUUCGUGUAUGCGACACAUACUCCGAGACUUGCUGCAGAAAGAAUUGACCAGGUAAUGCAUAUGAUGACAAUUAUAAAGCAGUAAAUACAUAAAAAGAAAACUGUAAACAUAUUGUAAGGACCCAACCGGUCGUUUCGGACAUUUACACUCCUUUAAACUAUUUUAAGUCUUAAAUAUCCUCCUAUGAUGUAUUAUGAUAUGUGUGAAUCUUCGGAUUUGGUGUUUAGGUAUUUUGAAAUCAACAGGAAGAAUGAAAUAAAAAAUUUAAAGCUUAAAUGGAAUAAAUUGACCGGAAGGUGAAAUAUGUGUAAACAACUUCGGAAUAGAGUUAUGACCAUUCCAAUAGCUCUGUAUGAUGAUUUUGGACUUAGGAAUGUGUCCGAAUACUUAUUUCGAAGUCCGUAGAAUAAAUUGAAGCAUUUUGACAAAAGUUGGAAAAUGGAAUACGAAAGUUUGACCGAGAGUUGACUUUUUGAUAUCGGGGUCGAAAUUCAAUUUCAGAAAUUGAAAUAGCUUCGUUAUGUUAUUUAUAACUUGUGUGAAAAAUUUAAAGUCAUUCCGGAUUGAUUUGAUAGGCUCCGACAUCGAUGUAGAAUUUGGAAUUCGUUAGUUCUCGUGAAGCUUGAAUUGGGGUGUGAUUUGUAUUUUAUUGGGGUUUGAUCUGAUUAGAAACAUCAACUAAGUUUGUACAAGGUUUUAGGACUUGUUGGUAUAAUUGGUUGAGGUCCCGAGGGUCUCGGGUGAAUUUCGGAUGGGUAACGGAGUUGGAUUUGGGCAUCUCAAGAAUGUUUCAACACGUUUCUUCAAGAAUAAGUGGUAUCACAUUAAGCAAAUGAGCUUCAAAUUCCGUUUUUACUGAAGAAUUAGAUCCGUAUCGAAAUUUCGGAGUCAUAACAAAAAGAAUCGUUGAAUUCGGACAUCGUAUGAGAGAAUUAUGCCCAUUUUCGUGUCGAGGAAAAAUAAUUACCCAUCGUGAGCGCCCAGGUAGCGCUGGGCGCUAUCCCUGGCGUCAGGAUUUUUUUAGCUACUGGAACCAGCACCACACGCAGUGCUCGGCGCCACCUGUGGUGCCCGAAUGAUAAAACUCUAUAAAACGGGGGUUUUCGGCUAUUUUUACACAUUUGGAGCUAUGGAGCUCGGUUUGGGCGAUUUUCAGAGGCAAACUUCACCACAAAACUUGGGGUAAGUAUUCUUAGCUCCCUUGUGAUUAUAUUCCAUGAAUUAAUCUUCAUUUUUGGGGUUAGAUUAUUGAUAUUUCAAGAGAAAUGGAGGAAUUUUCUAAAAUUUCAUAAAACGAAUUUUCAAGAUUUGAACAUCGAUCCGGAGUUGGAUUUGAGUAAAAUUAGUAUGGUUGGACUCGUAAUCGAAUGGGUUGUUGGAUUUUAUAAGUUUUGUUGGAUUUCGAGACGUGAGCCCCACUAUCAAAUUUUUGAGCGGAGUUGGAAAUUUUCAUAAAUUAUUAAAUUGUAAGAAUUUGGAGUGUGUUUUGAUUAAUUUGUACGUUGUUUGACCAGUCUUGAAUUAUUUGGCUUGGAAUUGAGGAGAUUGGAAGGAGUUCAGAGGUUGAUAAAUGUAUAAUGGAAUUUUCGGAGUAUUGUUAGCUUGUUCGGCAUUGGAGUCGGCUUGUUCAAGAUAAGUAACUCUUUUAAACUUAGUGCUGAGGGUAUGAAACCUCAAAUUAUGUGUUAUGUGAUUGAUGUUGAGGUGACGCACAUGCUAGGUGACGGGCGUGUGGGCGUGCACCCUGUAAAUGGUGACUCUGUUGUUUCCAAGACACUGUGUAGUGGUCCUACUUUGUUGAUAUUUGUAUUUUCACCAUGUGAUAAGUAAAUUAAGUUGUACAUCAUGCUAGAUAUCAUGUUUAGGUGUUUUGCCGAUAUUGUUGGGACCCAUAGUGGUCGUUUCUUGCUGUUAUCUUACUAAUAUUUCAUACUCAGUCAUAUUCAUUUAUUCAUAUAAUAUCUCAGUCUCAGUUGCUAUUAUUGAUACAUUAUAUCAUUAUUUUUGGGCGGACUUUCAUGACAUUUUGAGCGCGAGAGACUGAAGAGAUUGAUGAUUGAGUGAGGACGAGGGCCAGAUUGUGAGAUAUUGAUACUAUAGAACGUGAAUUGUCCGUGCAGCACGUGAGUUGUCUGUGCCGACACUGAUAUUGAUACUAUAGCAUGUGAGUUGUCCAUGCAGAUUAUAGCGCUUGGUCUGUAGGAGCCCCUGCAGAGUCUGUACACACCCCCAGUGAGCGCAGGUACCUACUGAGUGCGAGUGCCAAGUGACUUGGGAGGAUUGAGUGACUGGGAGGACUGAGUGACUGAGAGGAUUGAGUGACAUGGAGGAUUAAGUGAAUUGAUACUCUGAGAGUAUGCAUAUGGUUUUGUCGCUAUUUUGCAUUGCAUCGGCAUGCACAUUGAAAUAUAGGCAUAGAGAUGUACUUUCCUCAUGCCAUUUGAAAAAUGAAAUCUCCUAUUUUGAAAGAAAGUUUUAUGGGGAAAAUCACAGUCUUCAGACUUACUCAUAUUUUGGUGAUUUCAGUAAAAAGAAUUGAGUUUUACUGUUAUACUUGAAAAGAAAUUGUUUACUUUUCUUAAACUGUGAACGAGCUGAGCAUUUUAUUAUUAAGUUAUUCUUUGUGCUGCUUAUGAAUAUUGUUGUGAAGUAUUACUGGAUAUGGGUGUGGACCCUGGCCUUGGUACAAGCUCGUCACUACUUUCAACCUAAGUUUAGGUUUGUUACUCAUUGAGUACAUGUGGUCGGUUGUACUCAUACUACACUUCCUGUACAUUGCGUGCAGAUUUCGGAUGUUGAUGUCGCCGUGUUCGAUGAGAGCUAACUUGGAAGAUGUAUUGGCAUCCAUGUCGUAGCUGCCUCUUAUUCAUGGUAGCUUUAGAUUCAUUCAACUCUGUUUAUGUACUUUUCAAAAUGAAGAUGUAUUUGUUUCAUAUUAGUUUUGUAAAUUCUACUCAUAAAAGCUCAUGAUUUGUACUACCAGUCCUUGGGAAAUGUAUAAAGGAUUAUUUAUUUUUCCUCAAUAAGUUAUAUUUGUAUUGGAUUGGAGGAGUUGGCUUACCUAGCGGAAUAAGUUAGGUGCCAUCACGACUAGUUGGAUUUUGGGUCGUGACAAACAUAAACAACUAGCAAAUAAUAACAAAGUAUAAAAACAUAAUAAAAAUCAGAUAAAACUAAUAAAAAGCAUAAAAACCUCAGACGAAUAUUCUAAAAAGCCAAUAAGAUCGUAGUAUCAGCUCGAACCUGCAACUCCCCAGUAGAGUCGCCAAAGCUGUCACACCCCUUUUUUAACACCUCAUUUUACCCUCUUAAAAAUAAUAAAAAGAUUUUAUGAAGCUCAAAAGAGUUUUUGCAAUUUUAUUGUUCCUUCAUUUAUUCUGAUUUUUUUUGUGGGUUUAUUUCAUCUAAACUUGAAGUUUGAAGUGAAUCCAUGUCUCAAAGAAAAUUAUUUUUUUAUAAUGGAAUGGAUAUUUGUUCUUGUGAAUUUCAAGUUGAACUGAAAGUAUCAUGGACAUCAAAAAAUCCAGGUCGGCACUUUUAUGGGUGUAAAUUUGACAAAGUAAGUGAACCAUUAUCGGAUUUCAUUUUCAGCGUUGUCAUUUUCUUGUGUAAAUAAGAAGCGGACUUAAUUUUACCCAAAAUACGGUCGGGUUCAGGUAUUUUAAUAUUGACCCGCUUGACAUAGAUAAAAAAAUCAAAUGGUAAUAUUUAAUUGAAUAUUUAUUAAACCUCAGAUUUUGUAUACACGCGCGCAAUAUCACAAAAUUAAACCGAAUCACUUACAAUCUCACAAUAUGGCACACGCACAGAUGCUUUUCUUUGGAAUCUUGUCAAUCUUCUCUUCUGUUAUAUAAAGAAAAGUUUCAGCAGCUAAAAAAGAAAGGGUACACCAUGAAUUAUUAACACCACAAUCCUGACUGAAAAUACUCGUCAACUAUAUGAAAACAUAGUUGAAAACAGGCACAGGAUUGGACUUACACAUAUCUGCAAAUAAAUAAACUUAUUAACAAGAAAGCUAUAGUUAUAUUGGGUUGUUGGAGGGAGGGAUACCAACGGUCUAUCGGAAACAACUUCUUUAUCCCAGGGUAGGGGUAAGUUCUGCGUACACACUAUCCUCCCUAGACCCCACUAGUGAAAUUAUAUUGGGUUGUUGUUGUUGUAUCAAACCACCCUUUAACAUGAACAAAAUAAUAAGUUUAACUUCCUAACAAUACCUGGUGUACGUUUGUUGCCUAUAAGUAUCAUAUUUGAUUGCCUUUCUAUUUCAGACUUUGGGAUCAGUUUUGUGGCAUUCUCCAUCUUGACAAUCUUUUUAGACUGACAGUCUUUGGUGGUAAUAUGGUUCUUUGCCAUUUAAAUCUUGAAGUUAGCUUUUAGAAAUGGGAAAGAGUAAUUUGUGAGGUCAGAGAUUGUUG